UACGUAGGGGGCAAGCGUUGUCCGGAUUUAUUGGGCGUAAAGAGCGUGUAGGCGGUUCGGUAGGUCCGUUGUGAAAACUCGAGGCUCAACCUCGAGACGCCGAUGGAAACCAUCGAACUAGAGUCCGGAAGAGGAGAGUGGAAUUCCUGGAUGUAGCGGUGAAAUGCGCAGAUAUCAGGAAGAACACCCGUGGCUAAGGCGGCUCUCUAGUACGGUACUGACGCUGAGACGCGAAAGCGUGGGGAGCGAACAGG
rnacentral:rRNA from 1 species